GACGAACGCUGGCGGCGUGCUUAACACAUGCAAGUCGAACGGAAAGGCCCUGCUUUUGUGGGGUGCUCGAGUGGCGAACGGGCGAGUAACACGUGAGUAACCUGCCCUUGACUUUGGGAUAACUUCAGGAAACUGGGGCUAAUACCGGAUAGGAGCUCCUGCUGCAUGGUGGGGGUUGGAAAGUUUCGGCGGUCGGGGAUGGACUCGCGGCUUAUCAGCUUGUUGGUGGGGUAGUGGCUUACCAAGGCUUUGACGGGUAGCCGGCCUGAGAGGGUGACCGGCCACAUUGGGACUGAGAUACGGCCCAGACUCCUACGGGAGGCAGCAGUGGGGAAUAUUGCACAAUGGGCGGAAGCCUGAUGCAGCAACGCCGCGUGCGGGAUGACGGCCUUCGGGUUGUAAACCGCUUUCGCCUGUGACGAAGCGUGAGUGACGGUAAUGGGUAAAGAAGCACCGGCUAACUACGUG
rnacentral:rRNA from 1 species